AUGAAUGAACCACUGGAAGAGUUUGCUAAGGGAUCCACUGAAUUGACGCCUCGUCUGGAAGCAAUACAUCCUUUUUGGACAACAUCAGUGGGAAUGAAUGAAGUACAAACAUGCAGACAAGUUACAGGCAGAAUCAAGUUAAAACCAAUACCAAAACAUCUCAAGAGGCAUUUCCUUCCUCACUGCAAUACUAAUCAAUAUAAAAGCACAGAACUUGAGUUAAAAAAUGUCAAUUCUUCUUCAACAGAUAAUGACAUUAAAACAACAAACAAGGAAGAACAAGAAUGGCUUGAUGGAAGUAAAAAUAAGCAAUUUGAAGAAAAAGAGCAGCGUUGCCAAAGUAAGGAAAUGGAAGUGUUAAGAAACUUGCAUGAAAGUGCUGCUCCUCCUGAUGACAGUGAUGGUUGUGGACUGAAUCAGCAGAGAAAGAGUGGGGACCUUGACAACCAGCAAUCUGCCACUAAGAAGAAUGAAGAAUAUUAUUUCUGCCCUGCCUUGCAUAUAAAGGAAACAAAAAAUGAAAAUGAAAAAGUGACUUCCAUGGAGUAUGGGAUUAGACCAGUGAUAGAGAAUGGCUUUUCACUCACUAGAAGUCUACUGCAAGUGAUUUAUGACAACAAUCUGAGUGAGCUCGAUCGUCUUAAAAGGGAACAGUUAAGAAGAAAAGAAAAGCAAUAUCAUAAAGAAGUAGUAGUGAAACAACUUGAAGUGACACAUAGAACACUAGAAUUGGAUGCGAGGACUUCAAAAAACAAUUUGACCCAGUUCCAAGAAUCAGAAGAUGAACAAAAGGAGUUGGUACAAAACACUGAGAAAAUUCAAGAUCAUCUGGAAAAGCAUGAUCAGGAAAAUCAUGAGUUGAAAGAUACAAUACUAAAGCAAGCAAGGGAAAUUAAAAAUCUUCAGGAAAUCCUUUUCAGACUAAGUUCAGUAGAUAUGAAACACCUGCAGCAGCAACAGGAUGACAUUGAGAAAAGGCAAUGUAAAUCGGAGGCAUCGCUGAGAGAGAUGGCACAGUUUUACCUUAAGUUAAACAGCAAGAUGCAGGAUAUAAUGAACAAGUUAGAUGAAAUCAUCAGAAAAUUCCAGGUAUCAGAAAAUCUACACCAAGGAGUGGUAGAAAAUGUAAAGAAGACACAAGAUUAUCUAGAACACUACAAUUCAAGGCUUCAGUCUGAAAUUUUGGAAAUGAAAGAUAUCGUCAAACUGCAUGCUGGCAGUAUUGAAGAGCUGCAGAAAAAUCUGAUAAGACCAAGUUCAGUAGAUGUGAAACACCUGCAGCAGCAACAUGAUGAGCUUCAGCAAAGACAGUCUAAAUCAGAAGCAUCCCUGGAAGAUAUGGCGUGUUUUUACUAUAAGUUGAACAAUAAGACAAAGGAUAUAAUGGACGAGUUAGGUGAAAUCAACAGAAAAUUCCAGGAAGCAGCAGCACUACACCAAGAAGAGGUACAAAAUGCAAGGAAGUUACAAGAUCACCUUGAACACUAUAAUGCAAGGCUUAAAUAUGAAAAUUCACUAUUAAAAGAUACCAUCAAAGUUCAGGCAAACAGAAUUGAAGAGCAACAGAAGUACCUGAUAAGACCAAGUUCAGUUUCACCGGAUAAUGUAAGAAGAUGUUGUAUGAACUCAGAAACUGAAAUCCAGAAAUUGAAGAAGGAAUUAAGUGACCUCAGGAGACAAGUACAUUGA
ensembl:lncRNA